GUAAUAUUUAGGUCCCUUACUGUAAUAUUUAGGUCCCUUACUGUAAUAUUUAAUAUUUAGGUCCCUUACUGUAAUAUUUAGGUCCCUUACUGUAAUGUUUAGGUACCUUACUGUAAUAUUUAGGUCCCUUACUGUAAUAUUUAGGUCCCUUACUGUAAUAUUUAGGUCCCUUACUGUAAUAUUUAGGUCCCUUACUGUAAUGUUUAGGUACCUUACUGUAAUAUUUAGGUCCUCACUGUACUACUCACUGUACUACAGAUGUUUCUAAAUGAGCUAUCUAGACUACUCACUGUACUACAGAUGUUUCUAAAUUAAAUGAGCUAUCUAGACUACUCGCUGUACUACAGGCUACAGAUGUUUCUAAAUGAGCUAUCUAGACUACUCACUGUACUACAGAUGUUUCUAAAUGAGCUAUCUAGACUACUCACUGUACUACAGAUGUUUCUAAAUGAGCUAUCUAGACUACUCACUGUACUACAGAUGUUUCUAAAUGAGCUAUCUAGACUACUCACUGUACUACAGAUGUUUCUAAAUGAGCUAUCUAGACUACUCACUGUACUACAGAUGUUUCUAAAUGAGCUAUCUAGACUACUCACUGUACUAUAGGCUACAGAUGUUUCUAAAUUAGCUAUCUAGACUACUCACUGUACUACAGGCUACAGAUGUUUCUAAAUGAGCUAUCUAGACUACUCACUGUACUACAGAUGUUUCUAAAUGAGCUAUCUAGACUACUCACUGUACUAAAGAUGUUUCUAAAUGAGCUAUCUAGACUACUCACUGUACUACAGAUGUUUCUAAAUGAGCUAUCUAGACUACUCACUGUACUACAGAUGUUUCUAAAUGAGCUAUCUAGACUACUCACUGUACUACAGAUGUUUCUAAAUGAGCUAUCUAGACUACUCACUGUACUAUAGGCUACAGGUGUUUCUAAAUGAGCUAUCUAGACUACUCACUGUACUAAAGAUGUUUCUAAAUGAGCUAUCUAGACUACUCACUGUACUAUAGGCUACAGAUGUUUCUAAAUGAGCUAUCUAGACUACUCGCUGUACUACAGAUGUUUCUAAAUGAACUAUCUAGACUACUCACUGUACUAUAGGCUACAGAUGUUUCUAAAUUAGCUAUCAAGGCUACUCACUGUACUACAGGCUACAGAUGUUUCUAAAUGAGCUAUCUAGACUACUCACUGUACUACAGAUGUUUCUAAAUGAGCUAUCUAGACUACUCACUGUACUACAGGUGUUUCUAAAUGAGCUAUCUAGACUACUCACUGUACUACAGAUGUUUCUAAAUGAGCUAUCUAGACCACUCACCGUACUAUAGGCUACAGAUGUGAGUCACCACUAAAAUAGUUAUUAAUGUUAUUGAGUAGGCCUACAUCUUUGUUUAAUCUUUGUCUAACAAUAAAACAACUUAUUAUUUUGUAAGAAAUGUAAAGGCUUUUUACAAUAAAUUUGACUGAAGUAGAAGCUCA